rnacentral:rRNA from 1 species
UACGUAGGGGGCAAGCGUUGUCCGGAUUUAUUGGGCGUAAAGAGCGUGUAGGCGGCCUGAAAGGUCAGCUGUGAAAACUCGAGGCUCAACCUCGAGACGUCGGUUGAACCAUCUGGCUAGAGUCCGGAAGAGGAGAGUGGAAUUCCCGGUGUAGCGGUGAAAUGCGCAGAUAUCAGGAGGAACACCGAUUGCGAAGGCAGCUCGCUGGGACGUCACUGACGCUGAGACGCGAAAGCGUGGGGAGCAAACAGG